rnacentral:rRNA from 1 species
GACGAACGCUGGCGGCGUGCUUAACACAUGCAAGUCGAACAGAAAGGCCCUGCUUUUGUGGGGUGCUCGAGUGGCGAACGGGUGAGUAACACGUGAGUAACCUGCCCUUGACUUUGGGAUAACUUCAGGAAACUGGGGCUAAUACCGGAUAGGAGCUCCUGCUGCAUGGUGGGGGUUGGAAAGUUUCGGCGGUCGGGGAUGGACUCGCGGGUUAUCAGCUUGUUGGUGGGGUAGUGGCAUACCAAGGCUUUGACGGGUAGCCGGCCUGUGAGGGUGACCGGCCACAUUGGGACUGAGAUACGGCCCAGAGUCCUACGGGAGGCAGCGGUGGGGAAUAUUGCACAAUGGGCGGAAGCCUGAUGCAGCAACGCCGCGUGCGGGAUGACGGCCUUCGGGUUGUAAACCGCUUUCGCCUGUGACGAAGCGUGAGUGACGGUAAUGGAUAAAGAAGCACCGGCUAACUACGUG